rnacentral:snRNA from 1 species
ACCUUUGAGCAGUGACAGUAUCAUAGCCAGUGAGGUUUAUCCGAGGUGUGACUGUUGCUAAUUCAGAUGCAUACUCAGUAAUCUAGGCAAAUGGCAAAUUUAUGCCUCCAAAAGU